rnacentral:ncRNA from 2 species
AACGUGGUGCGCAACUGGCGAUAGGCGGCCAUCCGAUCAAGGAAUCGGCCGUUGACGUGGACACCCGACUGCCCUUUCCGGGCGGCUGCCGGGACAACCACUGGGAAGCGCACCGCCCGUGCCGUCAGGCCGGGCGUUCAGCCGUUCGCCUGGGCAGCCCUU